UACGGGGGGUGCAAGCGUUGUUCGGAAUUACUGGGCGUAAAGGGCUCGUAGGCGGCCAGCUAAGUCAGACGUGAAAUCCCUCGGCUUAACCGGGGAACUGCGUCUGAUACUGGAUGGCUUGAGUUUGGGAGAGGGAUGCGGAAUUCCAGGUGUAGCGGUGAAAUGCGUAGAUAUCUGGAGGAACACCGGUGGCGAAGGCGGCAUCCUGGACCGGCAUUGACGCUGAGGAGCGAAAGCCAGGGGAGCAAACGGG
rnacentral:rRNA from 1 species